AUACUAACCUAGCAGUGGAGAUACCAUGAUCAUGAAGGUAGCUUUCCCAGGGCGAGUCUUAUCCACUGGACUCUGAAUGUGGUGACCCCUGUCAUUUCCCCAAAUGCAGGAAACUCAACCGCAUCAUUUGUGGCAGUGGGAGACUGCAUUUGUGCUCUCUCCUG